CCAGCGGAAGGAUCAUUACCGAGGUUUCGACCGGACGGUACGGGGCCCCCGCGGCUCGGUCCGUCCGGGCGCUUUGUCGCCCAACCCCAUGUGAUUGUCAGCCCGUGUUGCCUCGGCGGUCGCCCCCAACCCCCCCCGUUUGUCGGGGUGGCUGGGGCUCCCCCCCGCCGGGUGCUUUGGAUAACUCAUUCCCUGCGACUCCGUGUCAGCAUGCCGUCCGAGGUUCGCGAGCAAAUCAAACAAAAACUUUCAACAACGGAUCUCUUGGUUCCGGCAUCGAUGAAGAACGCAGCGAAAUGCGAUAAGUAAUGUGAAUUGCAGAAUUCAGUGAAUCAUCGAAUCUUUGAACGCAUAUUGCGCCCCUUGGAAUUCCGAUGGGCAUACCUGUUCGAGCGUCAUUGACACUCCGUUCCAGCGUGCGCUGGGCCUUGGGCAAUGUCGACCCGCGAGAAGACAUGCCCCAAAGUGAACGUCGACGCGUCCGGGAGGCUUCGAGCGUAGUAGCAAGUCUCGCUCAGCCGGCCAUCCACGGCGCGUUUCGUCCAGGCAGGCUCCCGGUGGGGCCUGCCCCCGUCGAAUCGCCAUGUUGACCUCGAAUCAGGUAGGGAUACCCGCUGAACUUAAGC
rnacentral:rRNA from 1 species